UACGUAGGGUGCAAGCGUUAAUCGGAAUUACUGGGCGUAAAGCGUGCGCAAGCGGUUGUGCAAGACAGGUGUGAAAUCCCCGGGCUUAACCUGGGAACUGCACUUGUGACUGCACAGCUGGAGUACGGCAGAGGGGGAUGGAAUUCCGCGUGUAGCAGUGAAAUGCGUAGAUAUGCGGAGGAACACCGAUGGCGAAGGCAGUCCCCUGGGCCUGUACUGACGCUCAUGCACGAAGGCGUGGGGAGCAAACAGG
rnacentral:rRNA from 1 species